CCUCAACCCCCUAAGCACAUCGGUGGAGGCUGUGAAGACUCUUUUUUCCAUGCCCGGAUACUGGAAGGAAUUUGCCAGCAUCCAAUUUCAGCAGGGUUGGGACAUGAUAGCCUCACGAUAUUACUACUCGCAGGGUGUUGGCGUGAUUGCAAGAGCCAUGAUCGAGUUUGAGAACCCUCAGCUCCCUGCCGUCUUCAGAGAGGCCGUCACCAC